UCCGUAGGCGGGCAAUUAAGUCAGAGGUGAAAUCCCACAGCUCAACUGUGGAACUGCCUUUGAUACUGGUUGUCUUGAGUUACAGUGAAGUAGAUAGAAUAUGUAGUGUAGCGGUGAAAUGCAUAGAUAUUACAUAGAAUACCGAUUGCGAAGGCAGUCUACUCACUGUAUACUGACGCUAAUGGACGAAAGCGUGGGGAGCGAACAGGAUUAGAUACCCUGGUAGUCC
rnacentral:rRNA from 1 species